UCCCUGGUGGUGUCAAGGGUUAAUGUGGUUGGCUGCUAACCAAAAAAUUGGUGGUUCAAGUCCACCCUCUGGAU
rnacentral:tRNA from 1 species